UCGGACGCUAAACAGACUAAGCCACCCAGGAGCCCCCAUGUGAUCGUUUUUGUGUGUCAGCUUGGUGAUGCUGUGGUGCCUGCUUGCCUGGUCAAACACCAAGCCUAGAUUUGCUGUGAAGGUGUUUACAGAUGUGACUGACCUUUAACUCCGUGUACUUUGAAAAAAGCAGGUCAUCCUCCGUAGUGCGGGUGGGCCUCCUCUAACCAGUUGAAGGCCUGAAGAGCAGAGACAGGCUGAAAAAGCAGCAAAUCAGCCUCAAUAUUGCAACACAGAAACUGAGUUUUGCGAGGCCUAUUGGCCCGCUUUGCAGAUUUCGGACUCAAGUUUACGCAAUCGAUUCUUCCCUGGGUUUCCAGGCUGCCCCUCAGAUUUCACAGUUCAAGGCCCCCGCAUGAGCCAAGUGCUUCAAAUAAAUCUCUUUAUAUAUUAUUGGUUCUGUUUCUUGGAGAAUUCCAGCCAAUACAGGAUGCCUCAAAGCCAGUGUACUGAGACAUCUCCCAGGAGUUGAAGAAACAAAGCACGGUGUUUAACCUCUGGAAUUUUCUUGGACAAAGUCUGCUCAUCUAUAUGGACAAUUUCCCAUCCAUCACAACUAAGCUCAGGCAUUGCCUCCUGUAGGAAAGUUUUCUUGUGAAGCAGGCUUUGGAGAAACCGUUCUUAACUUCUUUCCCUGAAGGUGACUCUUCUGUAGUUUUCUUCACUGGCUUUUUCCGCUUACUUUCGAUCUCCCCAGCCCACAAAGGAGAGCGAUUUAAAAUCUACCACCACCUGGGGCCUGCACCCGCUCCGCCUUCUCCCGCCUGCGUCAGUGUUUGAAUUAAUGGAGUUGCUUUGAC